UACAGGGGGCUCAAGCGUUGUUCGGAUUCAUUGGGCGUAAAGGGUGUGUAGGUGGCGCCGUAAGUCGGGUGUGAAAUUUCGGAGCUUAACUCCGAAACUGCAUUCGAUACUGCGGUGCUUGAGGACUGGAGAGGAGACUGGAAUUCAUGGUGUAGCAGUGAAAUGCGUAGAGAUCACGAGGAAGACCAGUGGCGAAGGCGGGUCUCUGGACAGUUCCUGACACUGAGACACGAAGGCCAGGGGAGCAAACGGG
rnacentral:rRNA from 1 species